UACAGAGGUCUCAAGCGUUGUUCGGAUUCAUUGGGCGUAAAGGGUGUGUAGGUGGCGCGCUAAGUCGGGUGUGAAAUCCCCAGGCUCAACUUGGGAACUGCGUCUGAUACUGGUUGGCUUGAAUUCGGGAGAGGGAUGCAGAAUUCCAGGUGUAGCGGUGAAAUGCGUAGAUAUCUGGAGGAAUACCGGUGGCGAAGGCGGCAUCCUGGACCGAGAUUGACACUGAUGAGCGAAAGCCAGGGGAGCAAACGGG
rnacentral:rRNA from 1 species